rnacentral:rRNA from 1 species
CGCUGGCGGCGUGCUUAACACAUGCAAGUCGAACGGAAAGGCCCAAGCUUGCUUGGGUACUCGAGUGGCGAACGGGUGAGUAACACGUGGGUGAUCUGCCCUGCACUUCGGGAUAAGCCUGGGAAACUGGGUCUAAUACCGGAUAGGACCACUUCUUGGAUGUUGUGGUGGAAAGUUUUUUCGGUGUGGGAUGAGCUCGCGGCCUAUCAGCUUGUUGGUGGGGUAAUGGCCUACCAAGGCGUCGACGGGUAGCCGGCCUGAGAGGGUGUACGGCCACAUUGGGACUGAGAUACGGCCCAGACUCCUACGGGAGGCAGCAGUGGGGAAUAUUGCACAAUGGGCGCAAGCCUGAUGCAGCGACGCCGCGUGGGGGAUGACGGCCUUCGGGUUGUAAACUCCUUUCGCUAGGGACGAAGCGUUUUGUGACGGUACCUGGAGAAGAAGCACCGGCUAACUACGUG